rnacentral:rRNA from 1 species
UACGUAGGCAGCAAGCGUUGUUCGGAAUUACUGGGCGUAAAGGGCUCGUAGGCGGCCAACUAAGUCAGACGUGAAAUCCCUCGGCUUAACCGGGGAACUGCGUCUGAUACUGGAUGGCUUGAGUUUGGGAGAGGGAUGCGGAAUUCCAGGUGUAGCGGUGAAAUGCGUAGAUAUCUGGAGGAACACCGGUGGCGAAGGCGGCAUCCUGGACCAACACUGACGCUGAGACGCGAAAGCGUGGGGAGCAAACAGG